rnacentral:rRNA from 1 species
CAGCCGCCGCGGGAAUACGGAGGGUGCAAGCGUUAAUCGGAAUUACUGGGCGUAAAGCGCACGCAGGCGGUUUGUUAAGUCAGAUGUGAAAUCCCCGGGCUCAACCUGGGAACUGCAUUUGAAACUGGCAAGCUAGAGUCUCGUAGAGGGGGGUAGAAUUCCAGGUGUAGCGGUGAAAUGCGUAGAGAUCUGGAGGAAUACCGGUGGCGAAGGCGGCCCCCUGGACGAAGACUGACGCUCAGGUGCGAAAGCGUGGGGAGCAAACAGGAUUAGAUACCCCUGUAGUCCCUGUCUCUUAUAC